rnacentral:rRNA from 1 species
UGUCCACUGAACCUUAUCAUUUAGAGGAAGGAGAAGUCGUAACAAGGUUUCCGUAGGUGAACCUGCGGAAGGAUCAUUGUCGAAUCCUGCAAUAGCAAAAUGACCCGCUAACACGUUAACAAUUUGGGCGAGCGUCGGGGGGCCUCGGUCUCCUGUCUGCGAAUCCCUGGUAGGUGGCCACUCUCGGGUGGCCACUGGCCUGCAAAAUCAUUCGGGCGCGGAAUGCGCCAAGGACCUUAAAACUGAAUUGUACGUCCGUAUCCCGUUAGCGGGCACCGGCGUCAUUCCAAAAUACAACGACUCUCGACAACGGAUAUCUCGGCUCUCGCAUCGAUGAAGAACGUAGCGAAAUGCGAUACUUGGUGUGAAUUGCAGAAUCCCGUGAACCAUCGAGUCUUUGAACGCAAGUUGCGCCCGAAGCCACUAGGCUGAGGGCACGCCUGCCUGGGUGUCACGCAUCGUAUUGCCCACAGACCACUCACACCUGAGAAGUUGUGCCGGUUUGGGGCGCAAAUUGGCCUCCCGUACCUUGUCGUGCGGUUGGCGGAAAAACGAGUCUCCGGCGACGGACGUCGCGACAUCGGUGGUUGUGAAAGACCCUCUUGUCUUGUCGCGCGAAUCCUCGUCAUCUUAGCGAGCUCCAGGACCCUUAGGCAGCACACACUCUGUGCGCUUCGACUGUGACCCCAGGUCAGGCGGGACUACCCGCUGAGUUUAAGCAUAUCAAUAAGCGGAGGA